rnacentral:rRNA from 1 species
GAUGAACGCUGGCGGCGUGCCUAAUACAUGCAAGUCGAGCGAACGGACGAGAAGCUUGCUUCUCUGAUGUUAGCGGCGGACGGGUGAGUAACACGUGGAUAACCUACCUAUAAGACUGGGAUAACUUCGGGAAACCGGAGCUAAUACCGGAUAAUAUUUUGAACCGCAUAGUUCAAAAGUGAAAGACGGUCUUGCUGUCACUUAUAGAUGGAUCCGCGCUGCAUUAGCUAGUUGGUAAGGUAACGGCUUACCAAGGCAACGAUGCAUAGCCGACCUGAGAGGGUGAUCGGCCACACUGGAACUGAGACACGGUCCAGACUCCUACGGGAGGCAGCAGUAGGGAAUCUUCCGCAAUGGGCGAAAGCCUGACGGAGCAACGCCGCGUGAGUGAUGAAGGUCUUCGGAUCGUAAAACUCUGUUAUUAGGGAAGAACAUAUGUGUAAGUAACUGUGCACAUCUUGACGGUACCUAAUCAGAAAGCCACGGCUAACUACGUG